CCUUUAGAGUUUGAUCCUGGCUCAGAUUGAACGCUGGCGGCAGGCCUAACACAUGCAAGUCGAGCGGAUGAGUGGAGCUUGCUCCAUGAUUCAGCGGCGGACGGGUGAGUAAUGCCUAGGAAUCUGCCUGGUAGUGGGGGACAACGUUUCGAAAGGAACGCUAAUACCGCAUACGUCUUACGGGAGAAAGUGGGGGAUCUUCGGACCUCACGUUCUCAGAUGAGCCUAGGUCGGAUUAGCUAGUUGGUGAGGUAAAGGCUCACCAAGGCGACGAUCUGUAACUGGUCUGAGAGGAUGAUCAGUCACACUGGAAGUGAGACACGGUCCAGACUCAUACGGGAGGCCGCAGUGGGGUAUAUUGGACAAUGGGAGAAUGCGUGAUCCAGCCAUGCCGCGUGUGUGAAGAAGGUUUUCGUAUUGUAAAUCACUUUAAGUUGGGAGGAAGGGCAGUAUGUUAUUACCUUGUUGUUUGGACGUUACCAACCGAAUAAGCACCGGUUAACUUCGUGCCAGCAGCCGCGGUAAUACGAAGGGUCCAAGCGUUUAUCGGAAUUACUGGGCGUAAAGCGUGCCUAGCUGGUUCGUUAAUUUGGAUGUGAAAGCCCCGGGUUCAACGUGGGAAGUGCAUCCAAAACUGGCGAGCUAGAGUCUGACGGAGGGAGUUGGAUUUUCCUGGGUAGCGGUGAAAUGCGUAGAUAUAGGAAGGACCACCAGUGGGGAGGGGGAUCUCUUGUGCUAAUACUGACAUUGAGGUGGGAAAGCUUGGGGAGCAACCAGGAUUGGUUACCUUGGUAGUCCACGCGGUAAAGGAGGUUGAUUAGCGCUGUAUGGGGAGUCUCUCGACGCAUCUUAGUGGCGCCAGCUAA
rnacentral:rRNA from 1 species